rnacentral:tRNA from 1 species
GGAGAGGUCGCAUAGUGGUUUAGUGCACUAGUCUUGAAAACUGGCAGGUCCGCAAGGGUCUCGAGGGUUCGAAUCCCUCCCUCUCCGCCA